UUUUUGUCGUCAUGCUCUCUGACUAUUUUUCGCCAUUGAAAUGGUUUUCGAUAUGAUUUUUGCUACAAACACCUUACUGUACUAAUCAGCAUCUCACUGGACUCAAAACUUUUUAACGUUAUCAAUUUCACAUCUGUUUGAAAUAUCACUCUUGGUAGGAAAGAAGAUGCAUGCAUAUAUAUAAUUAAUUAGUGUGUAAGCUCACGGACGCAAUCAUAAAAGGCCAAAAGCUAUAUGACUUUUUUUCUUUUUACAUUGUUUUCAUCAAAAUUAAGGAGCUCUUUCCAUAAUACGAUGUUAUAAGACCAUCUUUACUGGGGAAUACUCUGUGAGUUACUCUCACAUUUGGACCCCAUUUGUGAAUAAAAAAUCCAUUUUUGAGUCCAUCAAGCAGAGUAUCGAUACUGUGGGAAGCCAUUGGAGCAACCGAUACUCUGCCUAAUAAAAUAUUAAAAAAACUCUUCUCUCUCUCUCAGUCGACGAAGCUUCAAGCUUUGGUGGAACCAAACCAACGGAAGAGGAUGCGAUUCUCGUCUCCUUCAGCUACAGAGAUCCUCGCUACUAAAAAAUCACUGAACCACCAGCGACUCGCAUCUCAUCACCAUCACUCUUAGGAAAAAAAACCGAUCGAAUGUAUCCUCCGCGAGUCACCAUCAAGGAUCUGCGUCUCAGACGCAUCUCCUCUCCGAGUCCGAACUCCACCGACGACAGCGAAUUAAACGGCAAAGAAGAAACCGAAGCAAGGAAGAACAAUACCAUAUAUCUCGUUGCAAAUGUCCGGAUUCGAACAAUGGAAUCAAAGCUCAUGCUUGUGGAUUAAGAAAUGUAGAAGCAGAGGAGUUACUUCAAACGACGUUAUAAGAGAUUGCUUCCAUACUUUAUGUCUGAUGGAACGUCAUCAAGCCGGUGCUCAAACCUUUAAGCCAGAAUCCUCUAGAUAUUAGUUUAUCCUGUAACAGAGAAGCUGGAUAAACUGGUGAAGACGUAGAGGAGGAAGUUAGUGAGUUGAUGCUCAUGGAGAUGAUUGUGGCAAAUGCAUUGUGUCACGUUUGCUAAGCUUCAAAUCCUUUCAUUGAAGCUUUUGUUAUUGUCGUUUAGUUCUUUCUCUCUGCAAAUAGGCAAUCUUGUACGUGCUAUGCUUCCGAAUGAGAUCAGUCCUGGACGUUCCUAGCUUUCGAUCGCAGCUUACACCAUUGUUGUCAGUUUUAUCUCACAAACUAGACCCGUUGAAGAAGUGCCAUCAAUUGGUAGUUUCUGAGUUCCGUAAACAAGCCAAAGCAGCUGGUCUGUUCAUUGUCUCGGAAGCCUGCAUUUUGAAUGGCCUACCCAAGUCUGAGCUCUCUCGUGAAAGGCUUGUUUUGUUCAUCCCGUUCGACCAGUGCUUGCUACAAAAAUCUAAAAGGUUCACUAUCUUAACUGGUACGUAGAUGAAGAGAAGCAGCAGAUUGUUAAGAUGGAUGGAGAAGCAGCAGCAGGUUCACUAUGCUAACUGGUACGUAGACUUGCAUAUUGGUACAAAUGCAACCAGAAAAAUCUAUCAAGCAUAUGGAGGGAUGAUUUUGUAUAAAUAACAUAAAUAAUUUGUAAAAUUUUGUUAAUUGAGCAACCUUCUUUGGGUUCUCUAGUGGAGGUAUGUUUUUGCUAAAGUUCUCUUAGAAUUGCUUUAAUUAAUUUAAUAUUAAUUAUAUUA